UCGUGCUAGACGGGGAGCUAGCGGUGCCCUGUACCCGAAAACCGCUUAUGCGGGGUUGAAUUCCCUCCCCAGAGUAGCAGCGCUGUGCGGGUGUGCCGCCCGGCGGGCGGAUUGGCUCCCACGCAACAGACGCCGGUGAACCCCGUCAGGUCCGGGAGGAAGCAGCGGUAAGCCGGGCCGGCUGUGUCGUGGUGUCAGCUAAUCCUUCACCCCCGGAGCCGGUGGCCUUCACGGUGGCGGACCCGAAGGAGGGUGCACGG
rnacentral:SRP_RNA from 1 species